rnacentral:rRNA from 1 species
CCUACGGGAGGCAGCAGUGAGGAAUAUUGGUCAAUGGGCUUACGCCUGAACCAGCCAAGUCGCGUGAGGGAAGACUGCCCUAUGGGUUGUAAACCUCUUUUGUCAGGGAGCAAUUGGCGCUACGUGUAGCGUUAUCGAGAGUACCUGAAGAAAAAGCAUCGGCUAACUCCGUGCCAGCAGCCGCGGUAAUACGGAGGAUGCGAGCGUUAUCCGGAUUUAUUGGGUUUAAAGGGUGCGUAGGCGGAAUGCCAAGUCAGCGGUAAAAUCGCGGGGCUCAACCUCGCUCCGCCGUUGAAACUGGCGUGCUUGAGUGGGCGAGAAGUAUGCGGAAUGCGUGGUGUAGCGGUGAAAUGCAUAGAUAUCACGCAGAACUUCGAUUGCGAAGGCAGCAUACCGGCGCCCAACUGACGCUGAAGCACGAAAGCGUGGGUAUCGAACAGGAUUAGAUACCCUUGUAGUC